rnacentral:rRNA from 1 species
AUUUAUUGGAGAGUUUGAUCCUGGCUCAGGACGAACGCUGGCGGCGUGCUUAACACAUGCAAGUCGAACGAGACGAUUGAAAGCUUGCUUUUGA